rnacentral:rRNA from 1 species
AUGCAUGUAGUAAAGCCUAUCUCCAUUCUCUAUGUGUUACAUUGCCAGCAUAUUCCAUGUGCUGACCCGUUUUGGGGCUGCAACAUUUCAUGUUGCAGACUUUUCAGACGAUGA